CAUUAUCGAAAAGUAGCACGCUCCGGAAGCGAUUGAUCCAAACAAAUAAAUAUAUCGUAAAAUCGUAUAGAAUCGUAUAGAACUUUGGAUAUACUAAAUAGAUAAUGUGCAGCCACUAGCUCAUUUUGCAAAGUGCAUAGAAAGGUGCGUGUGAGCAAUAGUCACGCAUACAGUGUACUAUUCGUAAAAGAGCGCGUAUCCGUCAUAUUCCGCGCGACUCACACGCGCUCACGAACAAAGAAAAAGCCCUAGCGACCAGCAAUGCGGCAACGGUGAGCGCCUGCGCGCCACGCUAUGUGAGUCAAGGACGACACGUGCGCUUGAAACGACCUACUUAUAUCGCCGUUGCUUCGUGCACGAUCGGUUCGCAGCACGAAUCUUCCCGAACGUAGAAAUAGGACGACCAAGUUCCAAUGUUCUGUCGAGCUACCACCCCCUCCUCUUUCCUAUGCGCGCAAGCUUCGUUAAUCGACUAACCGCUAUUCGCAUAGCACCGUUCUUUCGCGUUUAAUCUUUGAAUCGUAAAGAUCGUUUCAGGUUUCAUUUUAAUUUUUCUUCAUUUUUUAUUCUAACACAUCGAUCGUAUAUUUCUUCAAUUUUUUACAAUUUUACGUGUUCAUGGAUAUUGUGUGAUCAUCGUUUUUUCUAUUCAUACAAAUGCGGCAAGAAGGGUUGGUUGAAAUCCAUCCCCAUGUCGUAAUCAAGAAAUAUAUACACACUACUACAACGAUCUUUUGGACCUGUAACAUGGAAUCCAAAAGCGGUGGGUAUGAAGGCUGUCUCGAUUCGUCGGUUUUCUUCUCAUCGACAGCAUAAGUAGCGCGUUUCCGCGCGGCUUGUGGCCAGUUCCUGUUCGACCAUCAUACGAUCGUAGCGAAGCGCGGGCGUGUGGAAUCUUCCAAUAUAUACCACACAAAGAUAUGUCGAUGGCUUCUACGUGUGCGUACAGAACUCUGCAAGUAGCAACCAUAUAUACACGUGUGUAUUGUAUACAUACAUAUAUGUAUUAUAUGUAUAUAUGUAUAUUCAUGUGUAUGUGGUGUCCUCGCAGAAUAUCGUUUGUGUAAGAUUGAGAGUGGCCUCGUGUGCUUCCUACGUAUGUGUAAUUGUGUGCUGCUUCAUGGAUAGUGAACGCCGCGGGAAUUCGUGGUGUGCAAUCGACCAAUGGCAGGCCAAGUAGCAACGGCUAUGCACCAAUCAGAGAGCAGAAAUGCUUGCGAAUGCGCGCCACACUUACCACCGGAUGCCGAUCAUACUUGGUAGUGGGGAUAAACUGAGAGUGCGGCACAGGCUACGCGCUCGAGCGCAUCCUCGUUCGUCGCUGCUCGCCGUCGGAGUCGGUCGUGUUCGGUACUUGAGUCCUCCUCUCCGACAAUUUUCCGAAGUCUGAAGAAAGCUCUCUCGUCGUUUGCCAGAGGCUCGAACGCCAUCGUGGUGAUUACCACGUUCUCCAUCCAACGACAUUGUUCCAUCACUUUUACUUCUCAUCGUUCACAAUUUGGAUCAAACUGCGAUCUGUGCUAUCACUCCUGGGGACGUUUAAAAUACACGACCUUAUCGUGAUAAAAAAGAAUUCGUGUCGCAUAUCCGUUCGAUUUUUAUUGUGUCGUGGCGUGGUCCGUAAAUUGCGUGCGUGGCGUGGUAUCGAGACCGGACUUAAUUGGAAGCGAGCACCAAAUUCCGAAUAAUUGGCUGUGAAUACAACUUGGCUUGGACCAUUCACUGUGCACCAUUUUUUAUCUUUUUAUGAUUUUCCUGUAUAAGUGAUCGCGAUUUCCAAAGAGUAGUUAUUGCGGAAAUGUGCAUUUGCAUCAAACAAACGAUUUUAAUAAUUCAUUUGAAGAUUCAACAAAUCAAUCGGUUAAUCAUUUAAUCUGUAUUGUGUUUUUUUUCGCAUAAUAAAUUACAAUUUUUUAUUUCCAUAAUUUAUAUUAAACAUCAUAUGUAAUUCAUUGUAAAAAGAACAUUGUUUCAUUCAAUAUGUCAAUCCAUUUCGCAUAUAAUUUUUCCGAUUUAUGUCGUGUGCAGUGAACUCCGAUAAGUGCCAGCGCGGCACAUGGAAGUCUAACAGAUCUCUUUAAAAUCAGUUAUAAUCGUGAAAGCGAAGA
rnacentral:lncRNA from 1 species